GCAUAUCAAUAAGCGGAGGAAAAGAAACCAACAGGGAUUGCCUCAGUAACGGCGAGUGAAGCGGCAACAGCUCAAAUUUGAAAUCUGGCCUCUUUGGGGUCCGAGUUGUAAUUUGUAGAGGAUGUUUCGGGUACCGCCUCGGUCUAAAUUUCUUGGAACAGAAUGUCAGAGAGGGUGAGAAUCCCGUCUUGGACCGGCGGUAGGGCCCAUGUGAAACUCCUUCGACGAGUCGAGUUGUUUGGGAAUGCAGCUCAAAAUGGGUGGUAUAUUUCAUCUAAAGCUAAAUAUUGGCCAGAGACCGAUAGCGCACAAGUAGAGUGAUCGAAAGAUGAAAAGAACUUUGAAAAGAGAGUUAAACAGUAUGUGAAAUUGUUGAAAGGGAAGCGCUUGCAACCAGACUUGAGCGCGGCGGUUCCCCCUUCCUUUUGGUUGGGUUACUCCGUCGUGUCCAGGCCAACAUCGGUUCUGGGGGUCGGUUAAAGGCCUGGGGAAUGUAUCUACGUCUUCGGGCGUAGACUUAUAGCCCCGGGUGUCAUGCGACCUCCCGGGACCGAGGAACGCGCUUCGGCUCGGAUGUUGGCGUAAUGGUUGUAAGCGACCCGUCUUGAAACACGGACCAAGGAGUCUAACAUCUAUGCGAGUGUUUGGGUGUCAAACCCGGAACGCGGAAUGAAAGUGAACGGAGGUAGGAAGCUUCGGCUGCACUAUCGACCGAUCCUGAUGUCUUCGGAUGGAUUUGAGUAAGAGCAUAGCUGUUGGGACCCGAAAGAUGGUGAACUAUGCCUGAAUAGGGUGAAGCCAGAGGAAACUCUGGUGGAGGCUCGCAGCGGUUCUGACGUGCAAAUCGAUCGUCAAAUUUGGGGUAUAGGGGCGAAAGACUAAUCGAACCAUCUGGUAGCUGGUUCCUGCGA
rnacentral:rRNA from 1 species